UACGUAGGGGGCUAGCGUUGUCCGGAUUUAUUGGGCGUAAAGAGCAUGUAGGCGGCCAGGUAGGUCUGCUGUGAAAACUCGAGGCUCAACCUCGAGACGUCGGCGGAAACCAUCUGGCUAGAGUCCGGAAGAGGAGAGUGGAAUUCCUGGUGUAGCGGUGAAAUGCGCAGAUAUCAGGAAGAACACCAAUAGCGAAGGCAGCUCGCUGGGACGUUACUGACACUGAGGCGCGAAAGCGUGGGGAGCGAACAGG
rnacentral:rRNA from 1 species